rnacentral:rRNA from 1 species
UACGUAGGGUGCAAGCGUUGUCCGGAAUUAUUGGGCGUAAAGAGCUCGUAGGCGGUUUGUUGCGUCGGCUGUGAAAUCCCGAGGCUCAACCUCGGGUCUGCAGUCGAUACGAGCAAACUAGAGUGUUGCAGGGGAGACUGGAAUUCCUGGUGUAGCGGUGAAAUGCGCAGAUAUCAGGAGGAACACCGGUGGCGAAGGCGGAUCUCUGGGCCUUGCCUGACGCUGAGGCGCGAAAGCUAGGGGAGCGAACAGG